ACUCCUACGGGAGGCAGCAGUGGGGAAUAUUGGACAAUGGGCGAAAGCCUGAUCCAGCCAUGCCGCGUGUGUGAAGAAGGUCUUCGGAUUGUAAAGCACUUUAAGUUGGGAGGAAGGGCAGUAAGUUAAUACCUUGCUGUUUUGACGUUACCAACAGAAUAAGCACCGGCUAACUUCGUGCCAGCAGCCGCGGUAAUACGAAGGGUGCAAGCGUUAAUCGGAAUUACUGGGCGUAAAGCGCGCGUAGGUGGUUCAGCAAGUUGGAUGUGAAAUCCCCCGGGCUCAACCUGGGAACUGCAUCCAAAACUACUGAGCUAGAGUACGGUAGAGGGUGUGGAAUUUCCUGUGUAGCGGUGAAAUGCGUAGAUAUAGGAAGGAACACCAGUGGCGAAGGCGACCACCUGGACUGAUACUGACACUGAGGUGCGAAAGCGUGGGAGCAAACAGGAUUAGAUACCCCGUGGUAGGAUAGCG
rnacentral:rRNA from 1 species